CCCAGACCGCCCCUCUCUCUCUCUCUCUCUCACAUGGCCUCAAUACCACCCCAGACCGCCCCUCUCUCUCUCUCUCUCUCUCCACAUGGCCUCAAUUCCACCCCAGACCUCCUCUCUCUCACAUGGCCUCAAUACCACCCCAGACCGCCCCUCUCUCUCUCUCACAUGGCCUCAAUACCACCCCAGACCGCCCCUCUCUCUCUCUCUCUCUCUCUCUCUCUCACAUGGCCUCAAUACCACCCCAGACCGCCCCUCUCUCUAUCUAUCUAUCUACACACAACUGCUGUUGAAAGAACAACAUCGUCCAGUAUUUGAGCCACAAGACAUAUCAAACUGGUGUUGUCCCAAAUGGCUCCCUCUUCACUGCUUUUGACCAGGCCCCAUAGGGAUUUUAGUCAAAAGUAGUGUACAGUGUAGUUGGGAAUAGUUGACCAUUUUGUUACGGAGCCAGUAUACCCACCAACUGUAACACAGAAAUCCAUGUCUCGUAUUUUAACAAGCGGUCCUAUUCAUGGCGUUUUGGGAGGCCCGUUUUUUUUUUAUCAGUACAUCUAUCUGACAUGAAGAUGUAGGUGGGCCUUAAUGUAGGAUGUCAACAUGUCUAGGUGGGCCUUAAUGUAGGAUGUCAACAUGGUCCCGGCCCUGCCAGACAUGUCUAGGUGGGCCUUAAUGUAGGAUGUCAACAUGUCUAGGUGGGCCUUAAUGUAGGAUGUCAACAUGUUCCCGGCCCUGCCAGACAUGUCUAGUCUUAUACAAUUUUUUUUUUUUCUCCUGUUUAUUAAAAACCAAAUAAAUCUGUGAUCAUGAA